GUGAAGCGGGAAGAGCUCAAGCUUANNAUCUCUGUGCAAGUUUUGCAUGGCGAAUUGUAGUCUAUGGAUGCGCUAUCAGUACAGCCGCGCGGGCCAAGUUCCUUGGAAGAGGACAGCAUGGAGGGUGAUACUCCCGUUCCUGCCUGUGCGUGUUGUGCGUACGAUGCGUUUUCUUUGAGUCGCGUUGUUUGGGAAUGCAGCGCAAAGUAGGUGGUAAAUUCCAUCUAAAGCUAAAUAUUGGUGCGAGACCGAUAGCGAACAAGUACCGUGAGGGAAAGAUGAAAAGAACUUUGAAAAGAGAGUUAAAGAGUACCUGAAACUGCUGAAAGGGAACCGGGUCGUUGCCAGUGUCUAUAAUCUGCGGCAUAUUUCAUUGUCGGAUGCGGCCGUGCGGCGCGUUUGGUAGUGGGUUCGUCCUGCACCGNNUGUUGCUGUGGUUGUGUUUGGUGGUGCCCUGUGCUGUGGUGGGACGUCAGAGUCAGUUCGUAUGCUGCGGGAAAUGGUUGCUGGGGAGGUAGGUCGGGGGUUCGCCCUCGGCUGUUAUAUCCUGGUGGACUANUCNUCGUGGUUGGGACUGANGUGCCUACNNNNUGCUUUUUUA
rnacentral:rRNA from 1 species